rnacentral:rRNA from 1 species
UACGUAGGGCGCAAGCGUUUGUCCGGAAUUAUUGGGCGUAAAGAGCUUGUAGGCGGUUUGUCGCGUCUGCUGUGAAAUCUCAAGGCUCAACCUUGAGCUUGCGGUGGGUACGGGCAGACUAGAGUGUGGUAGGGGAGACUGGAAUUCCUGGUGUAGCGGUGAAAUGCGCAGAUAUCAGGAGGAACACCGAUGGCGAAGGCAGGUCUCUGGGCCACUACUGACGCUGAGAAGCGAAAGCAUGGGGAGCGAACAGG